UAAAAACUACAGAUUCCCCACCACCAACAGGUAAAAACUACAGAUCUCCCAACACCAACAGGUAAAAACUACAAGUCCCCCACCAACAACAGGUGAGAACUACACCAACAGGUAAAAACUACAGAUUCCUCACCACCAACAAGUAAAAACUACAGAUCUUCCACCACCAACAGGUAAAAACUACAGAUCCCCCACCACCAACA